rnacentral:lncRNA from 1 species
CAUUCUUAUUUCUUUUUUUGCAUUUACUCGUGAGCAUGUUUAAUUUCUGCUAUCUGUUUAUGAAAUUUUCUAUUGCUAAUUAUUUACUGAUCUCUCGAAUGGCAUUCAUCUGUAUCAUUUAGAUUGAUCUCACUUUAGUCUCGUAUCAAUCAAUCACGCCUCCUGAGCAGAGUAUAGGCAACUAUACUGUCUGUCCUGAGAAUAAUGAGCCCCUGGCCGGACGUGAUUUGUUGUUGAUGAA